rnacentral:rRNA from 1 species
CCAGACUCCUACGGGAGGCAGCAGUGGGGAAUAUUGCACAAUGGGGGAAACCCUGAUGCAGCGACGCCGCGUGAGUGAAGAAGUAUUUCGGUAUGUAAAGCUCUAUCAGCAGGGAAGAAGAUGACGGUACCUGACUAAGAAGCCCCGGCUAACUACGUGCCAGCAGCCGCGGUAAUACGUAGGGGGCAAGCGUUAUCCGGAUUUACUGGGUGUAAAGGGAGCGUAGACGGCAGGGCAAGUCUGGAGUGAAAGCCCGGGGCCCAACCCCGGGACUGCUUUGGAAACUGCCAUGCUGGAGUGCUGGAGAGGUAAGCGGAAUUCCUAGUGUAGCGGUGAAAUGCGUAGAUAUUAGGAGGAACACCAGUGGCGAAGGCGGCUUACUGGACUGUAACUGACGUUGAGGCUCGAAAGCGUGGGGAGCAAACAGGAUUAGAUACCCCGGUACU